rnacentral:rRNA from 1 species
GACAGAGGGGGCAAGCGUUGCUCGGAAUUACUGGGCGUAAAGGGCGCGUAGGCGGGAUGGCAAGUCGGUCGUGAAAUCCCUCGGCUCAACCGAGGAACGUCAAUCGAUACUGCUGUUCUUGAGGAUUGCAGAGGAGACUGGAAUUCCCGGUGUAGCGGUGAAAUGUGUAGAGAUCGGGAGGAACACCGGUGGCGAAGGCGGGUCUCUGGGCAAUUCCUGACGCUGAGGCGCGAAAGCGUGGGGAGCAAACGGG